rnacentral:lncRNA from 1 species
CAUUGAGCUUGAAGAUAGGACAAUUGAAAAUAUCCAGUCUGCUCAUGCCUGCAAUCCCAGCACUUUGGGAGGCAGAGGAAGGCAGAUCGCUUGAGCCCAGGAGUUCGAGACCAGCCUGACCAAUAUGGUGAAACCCCAUCUCUACUAAAAAUACAAAAAUUAGCCAGGUGUGGUGGUGCGCACCUGUAGUCCCAGCUUCUCGGGUGGCUGAGGCAGGAGAAUCGUUUGAACUAGGGAGAUGGAAGUUGCAGUGAGCCAAGAUCAUGCCACUGUACUCCGGCCUGGGCGACAGUGAGACUCCGUCUCAAAAAAUAAAAAAAAACUCUUCACAAUCUUGUGGUAAGAAAAAUUUUCUUAGGACAUAGAAAACACUAACAAUAAAAAAUGUUAAAUGCAAUUUCAUUAAAAUUAAAAUCUGCUCUUCAAAAACACCAUUAAUAAGAUGAAAAAGGGCAGCCAAAAAUUGGUAGAAAAUAUCUGUAAUACAUAUAUCUGACAAUGAACUUGUAUCUAGGAUAUAAUUUACCUCACAACAUCACAACAACAUAAUACCUAUAAAAUAAGGAGCAGCUGGGUGCGGUGGCUCACGCCUGUAAUCCCAGCACUUAGGGAGACCGAGGCGGGGGAAUCAUUUGAGGUCAGGAGUUCGAGACCAGCCUGGCCAACAUAGUGAAACCCUAUCUCUACUAAAAAUAUAAAAAUUAGCCAGGCAUGAUGGUGCGCACCUGUAAUCCCAGCUACUUAGGAGGCUAAGGCAGGAGAAUCGCUUGAACCCAGGAGGUGGAGGUUGCUGUGAGCUGAGAUCGUGCCACUGCAUUCCAGCCUGGGUGAAAGAGUGUCUCAAAAACACAAAACAAAACAGAAAGAAAGAAGCCAGACAGAAAAGAAAAGUUACUCUAUUACUCCAUUUAUAAUAAAUCUUAUGAGUCACAACUAAUGUAAUAGAAAUUAGAGCCGUUGGUUGACUAGGCCCAGGUCGUGGGUGCACUGAUUGCAAAAGAACAUGUUGGUUUCCCAAAUAUUGGGUUUUAUAGUUUUAGCUCUUAUAUUUAGCUCUUUAAUCCAUUGAGUCAAUUUUUGUAUAUGGUGUGAGGUAAGUGUCAAGCUUUAUUCAUUUGCACAUGUCUGUCAAGUCAGUUGUUAAUUUGUUUAGGGUUCUUCUGUAAGUGAUGAGUCAUUUUUCUCUUGUUACUUUCAAGAUUUUCUCUUUGUCUUUGUCUUUCAGAGCUUUUACUUGACAUGUCUGUUUGUGGAACUCUUUGUAUAAUCCUAUGUAGAAUUUGUUGCGCUUUCUGGACAUGUAGAUUAAUGUUUUUCAAUUAGAUUGGGAAGUUUUCAGCCACUCUCUUUGACAAUUUUUUCUACUCCUUUCUCUCUUUCCUUUCCUAGUGCUUUCAUUUUGUGUAUGUUGGUGUGCUUAAUGGUAUCCCACACUUCUUUACCACCUCUCCUGCAACCACGGUUGCACUCUGUUUGCUAUCUCUGUUGUUUUGCCUUUUCCAGAUUGUUGUAUAUUUGAAGUCAUAUGUAGCCUUUUCAGAUGGUUCCAUUCACUUAGCAAUAUGGAUUUUAGGUUCCUCUAUAUCUUUUCGUGACUUGAUAGUGCAUUUCUUUUUAGUGUUGAAUAAUAUUCCAUUGUAUGGUUAUGCCACAGUUUAUUCAUUUGCCUGUUGAAGGACUUCUUGGUUGUUUCCAAUUUUUGGCAACUAUGAAUAAAACUUCUAUAAACAUUCACAUGCAGGUCCUUAUGUGGACAUUCACUUUAAGCUCAUUUGGAUAAACACGUGGAUUGUGGUGGUUGAAUUGUAUUGUAGGACUGUGUUUUAGCUUUGUAAGAAAUUGCCAUACUGUUUUCCAAAGUGGCUGUAUCAUUUUGCAUUCUCAUCAGUAAUGAAUGAGAAUACCUGUUACUCCACCUCCUCCUUAGCAUGUGGUGUUUUGAAUUUUAGCCAAUUGAAUGGUGUGUAGUAAUAUCUUACUGAUGUUUAAUUUGCAAUUAUGGUAUCUUACUGAUGUUUAAAUUGCAAUCAGAAGUAUUUACUGAUGUUUAGUUAUAUAUAGCUAAAUAUUGACAUAUAGCAUAUGUCAAUGAUGUUUGGCAUCUUUUUAUACUGUUUACCAUCUGCAUAUCUUCUUUGGCGGGGUUUCUGUUUAAAUAUUUUGCCCAUUAAUUUUUUACCUUAUUAUGAGUUUUAACAUUCUAUGUAUAUUUUGUAUACCAGUGCUUCAGCAGAUACAUACGUAUUAUGCAAAUAUUUUCUCCAGUCUGUGGCUUGUCUUUUCAUUCUCUUAACAGUGUCUUUCACAGAGCAGAAGAGAACAGGAGGUGGCCUGAGCAAGGGACUGAGCCAAGUGCUUGUGGAGGGCUCAGGUUCUGGGCCGUAAGAUGCGAUUUCCCAUUCGCCCACUCCGGAUCUCUGAGGCCACUCCUGACGGCAAUCUCCAUGAGUUCUCCAAGUGCGAAUAGGAAGGAAACCUGGAUUCGGCCGCUGGGAGACACAGGUGGUUCUCAAAGGUGGCUGCGCGGCAAAUGACUGACGCCUACUGGCGGCGUCACGAUCUGCAAAAAAAGAGAAACGCGGAAAUCCUCAACCAGCUGCCUUCCCGACUGCUAGUGCCACAAAUGCCAUCGGGGCGGCACGGCCACCGGUCCAGAUCUCCAGUCCUGAGCACCUUGCGAAAGCCGCCCGCACUCACUCUGCGGGGUGCGGAUAGUGCUCCCCACUCAGACUCCGGGGAUCCCGCGGGCCGACAGAUCUGCGCCGGGGCCCUGAGCCCCCUGAGCCUGUACCUUCGAGGCCAGUAAUAGUCGGAGCUUGGAAACUGUGCACCCACUCGAUUCCAGCUCUGCGCCACUUGGUGAAUCCGGACCACAGGGUCCCAAACAGCCGNNNNNNNNNNNNNNNNNNNNNNNNNNNNNNNNNNNNNNNNNNNNNNNNNNNNNNNNNNNNNNNNNNNNNNNNNNNNGCGGAGACAGCAGAGGUCUGACCGCCCCGCUGAGGUCUCAGAAGAGCAAAGCAAGUUACUGGGACUGCCGAAGUCCCGCGUGUCCCCCGUUCCCGCGGGUGCCGGGCCUGGAGAGUGCUAAGCGCCCUGAGACUCGCGCUUUCCUAGCGCGUGAAUCCCAACCGUCAACCUAACACUGCGCUCUUCGACUCUGUCCGAUUCUGCAGACGUCCGAAACCUCGGAAGCCAAAACCGUGCUUGAACUCACUGCCCGCGCCUCAUCUCUCCUCAUGGGCAGUUUCCUGAGCAAACUGGAACUUUCGCCCUCGUCCCCAGCCCAGGUGCGCACCGACUUGCCCGAGAGGCCCACGAAACGCCGGCCACCUCAGCACCUUCACCAAGUUCAUCGGGUUCAGUUCGUCCACCGCGCCCACCCUGCCCCACGGUAUAGACCUGUGAGGAGGCGGCCAAACCUGGAUCCUGCCAAUCCAACCACGUGGCUGGCCAACGAGGCUUGGAGGCGCUUUCCCAUGAAGAAGU